AUUUGCUAUUAAUCUUUAUUUAUAUGAUUGUUUUCUGGGAAGCACCUCAUUUUCAAAGCUAAGCCUAAGGCAAGUAGUGUAAGGCACACAGGAAGAAAUCUGCUGUAUGGAAAUGCUUUUGCUGUAUCACAAAGAGUUCUAUUCCUUGAGCUCUUCGAUUCAAGGUACUAAUAAUGUCUAUGCAUGCAGAGCAAAAAAAAAAAAAAAAGCAAAGGCCAAGAGUGCCAGGCACAUGAAGAUAUGCAUAUACUGUCUUCACAUUUAACCUCUAUCGAUAUGAUUAAGUAGCUAUCUGUGUACAUCUAACCACACCUGAUAGUGCACAUUCUUGGGGAACGCCCAAUGCACUAAGAGCUGUGUGCGCUUCAAGGCAAAGUAUUUCACUGAGUUUCUAGGGAAACAUUUGAAAUGUUGUUUCCUGAUUUGAAAUGUUGCUUCAUGGCUUGAAAUGUUGCUUCAUGGCUUGAAAUGUUGCUUCAUGAUUCUAAAAGAAAGGGAAAAUAUUAGGGAGAAGACUGUUAGAGACAGGGAAUGUUCCCCACAAUCUUCAUUAUGCAUCAUUAGUAAGAGACAGCAUUGCCUUUUACUUGAUAAACGACUGCCUACCAUUUGUUCUGCAGAACAAGGAAAGGAAAACAAGUUUUUCUCAUGGAAAACCAAGCCCGGUUUCUAACCUUUCUCUAUGCUAACAGAUACUAAAGACGGGAAGGAAGUCAAGCCCUGCAAUUACAGCUUCUCCCAUGAGAGUCCAUGGGAGACAGAGAAGCAAAAUUUACAGGCAUUCUGACCUCACAACAGACCUCGAAGGACUGGAUUCCAAACUAGAGCCCAUCAGAGAAACAGACAAAAUGUGCUGUUCAGUACUUCGCUUUCUUUCAACUGGCCUAUAAAGACAUCUAGCUACACGCGGACGCUCCCCCUGCUCUGCUAUUCCACAGAAUGGAAUCGUUAUGAAAGGACAAUCAGUGGGCUUUACAGCAGCGGUCUGCAUCCACUACGUGAAAGAAAUCAGCAGGAGAAACAGCAGGUCCUGGGCUGGACUCGCUUUGUAAUUUAAAUGAAGAUAAAAUGUUUAUGGCCCUCCAGCUCCCAGAUGCCCUAGCAUAUAUUAAGCACGCUUCACGCCAGCUCGCUGUUUGAUCCUUGCAGCGUUGGAGCAAAACUGCCCUGGAUGAACUGCAAACCCGGUGGCCAGCCACCUCUCCAGGAUUCUGCUCAAAAUGAUGUUUGCAAGGAAGACUUUCCUAACCCUUAGCUGGAGUUGAGGGACCUCUUCUCUGCUCCCACAAUCAUCAUUCUCUCUGUCUCCCUGACUGGCUUGCAUGCUCCAUGGGGACAUGUCUUGCUCAUCUUAUUGGAUCUUCUGCCUCCAAGUUCUGUCUGGAACCAAGGUAUAAGCUAAAUAAACCUGAGUUCAGUGAAUGGCUAUCAACUCUUCAGCUGCCCAAGAAUGUUCAUUUUCUUCUUGUCUAUAUAGGAACAGAUUAAAAUUUACCGCAUGCACCAUAGAAUUAUCAAUCAUGAAGAGUUUUACAUUUUCCUAAGUCCAGUUAUUUUUCCCAACUGUGUCCACC
rnacentral:lncRNA from 1 species